rnacentral:tRNA from 1 species
GCAGGGGUAGCAGAGCCUGGUCAAACCAUAAACACCUGAUGGGGCUGCAUGCGCGGGACUCAAGAUCCCGUCUCGAAGGAGUACAUGGGUUCAAAUCCCAUCCCCUGCACCA